AAUUCGUGGUGCGAGCAUUUCUGAAUCAAUGUUUUAAAACAUUCCCAAGCGUCAUAAAAAGUUUCUCCUUCCAUCUAUCUAAAGACAAUACUCUCUCUUCUUAGUU
rfam:Gossypium raimondii Chr10_contig_957, whole genome shotgun sequence.